rnacentral:rRNA from 1 species
CGGGACGGGUGAGUAAUGUCUGGGAAACUGCCUGAUGGAGGGGGAUAACUACUGGAAACGGUAGCUAAUACCGCAUAACGUCGCAAGACCAAAGAGGGGGACCUUCGGGCCUCUUGCCAUCGGAUGUGCCCAGAUGGGAUUAGCUAGUAGGUGGGGUAAAGGCUCACCUAGGCGACGAUCCCUAGCUGGUCUGAGAGGAUGACCAGCCACACUGGAACUGAGACACAGUCCAG